CAGAGAAGUUGUGGUGCCUGUUCAAGAUCACUCAGCUGUACAGAGAAUGAGUAUCAUUAUCUCUGACUGAAGAUGAAGAACAGAAACAGUGAUUUGUUUAUGACGGAGAAGAGAGUCUGCCAUAAAGUCUUACUGGACCCAGGAUGGCCUACACCUUCUCUUCUGGCUUUGCCAUCUCUAAAACUGGCUUUUCUGGGAUAGAGAUCUUUGUUCCUUGGUCUGAAAUCCAAAUACAUGAUGCAGAAAAAGUGAGAAAAGUGAUUUAGGAACAAGUGGUUCGUGGAGAGGGCUCCUCAUUUUCUGGAUAAAGGCAGUAGCUCUACUUAGAAUCACAGAAUUAAAACCAAGAGAGGCCUCAGAGACCAUUUAGCCCCCCAUCCCACUCCUAAUUGUACAGUGGCAGGAAGUGAGGUGUGAGAACUGGAACUAUGAGCUCAGUAUCACCUAGUGAGUGGCAUCCUGGAUGGAACUUAGGGCUCCUGGCUUUCAGUUUAGUGCCUUUUUCUCCAUCCCACUUUGUUAUUCGACUACACUAGGCUAACCGAAGAGAAAGUUCUUGUAAUUUCAGAGAAAUCUUCAGCUUUUUCUUCUGCAAAUCUGGGAUGACACUCUCAUAGUAAAUGGAGAAUAACUGUGCUCCAAACAAGAAUGCUAGGAUUUAGGUAUCAAGA
rnacentral:lncRNA from 10 species